rnacentral:rRNA from 1 species
GACGAACGCUGGCGGCGUGCUUAACACAUGCAAGUCGAGCGAUGAAGCACCUUCGGGUGUGAAUUAGCGGCGAACGGGUGAGGAACACGUGAGAAAUCUGCCUUCAACACUGGGAUAACUCCGGGAAACCGGGGCUAAUACCGGAUAUGAAACCUGCGGGCAUCCGCGGGUUUGGAAAGUUUUUCGGUUGAAGAUGAUCUCGCGGCCUAUCAGCUUGUUGGUGAGGUAAUGGCUCACCAAGGCGACGACGGGCAGCCGGCCUGAGAGGGCGACCGGCCCCACUGGGACUGCGACACGGCCCAGGCUCCUACGGGAGGCAGCAGUGGGGAAUAUUGGGCAAUGGAGGAAACUCUGACCCAGCGACCCCGCGUGCGGGAUGAAGGCCUUCGGGUUGUAAACCGCUUUCAGCAGGGAAGAAGCGAAAGUGACGGUACCUGCAGAAGAAGCACCGGCUAACUAUGUGCCAGCAGCCGCCGUAA